rnacentral:rRNA from 1 species
AUGGCGCCGAAGACUGGGAAGAAGAGGGGCGGACGCAAGCCCAAGCCCAAGCCCAAACCCAAACCCAAAACCCCAUCUUCCUCUAGCUCGCCGACCUCGGUCCUGCCGCCACCGCCGACGGAGACGAAGGCGGCCGACGUCCUCACCGGGGACGUGCUCCGCAACGUCCUCCGCCGCCUCUCCCUCGUCGACCUCCUCCGCGCCGCCCUCGCCUGCCACUACUGGCGCCGCGCCGCCUCCCGCUGCCUCCCCCGCGCCCCUCCCCUCCUCGGCUACUUCCAUCACCCCGUCAAAACCUGCCUCCCGCCGCCCGUCAAGCAGAAGCACCAACCCCUCCAAGACGCCGUCUUCGUCCCCCUCGGCUCCUCCUCCCCGCUCAGCUCCCUCGAUUUCGCCCCGGGCGCCUCCCGCUACAAGCUCUACGACUCUCUCCAGGGCCUCCUGCUCCUCGAGCCGACCGCGGCGCUCCCCGGGGGGAUCCUCCCGCGCUUCCUCGUCCUCGACCCGGCCACCCGCCGCCGCGCGCUCCUCCGGCCGCCGCCGCGAUCCACGGUGCCCGAUGACCGCCUCUGGCGCAGCUCCAGGUUCUACAUCGGCUCCGCGCUUCUCUCCCGCGCGCACCCGAGCAAGCUCUGCUUCGAGGUCGUCUGCUUCGCCAUCGACGACGGGCACCCGCGCGCCUGGGUCGCGUCCGUCGACGAGGGCCAGUGCCGCUGGCGCGCGCUCCCGCGGGCCGUGGACGUCGAGGUCGAAUUCGAGCCCUGGUGCUUCGAGCGACGCUGCGUGCACGCCGCCGGGAAGCUCUAUUGGCACAUCUGCAACUCGGGUCGCGUGCUCGUGCUAGACCCUUCCACACUGCACUUCUCUUACAUGCUGGCGCCGGCCGCACUGUCGGACCACUUCAGCAAGUACCGCGUCGGGGAGAUGCCGGAGGACGGGCAGCUCUGCAUCGCGACCGUGGAGAACCAGAUGAUGCAGCUCUGGGUGCGUGGGGAGACCAGGUGGAGCGACAAUGGGUGGCAUCUUGAGAGGGAGAUGAACCUUAGCAAGUUGUACGACGCACUGCCGGGCGUGCCCAGGGACAGGAGGGCCAGGUCGGCGAGCAUCAUGCUCACCGACAUGGACGCCGGGCGCACAGGGAAGCUGUUCAUCCAGAUGCUGGGCUAUGGGCGCUACUCGUUCGAUCUCAAGACUUGCAAGCUGGAGCGCCUGGCGAUGGAGGAUGGCAAAGAGUACGGGGACCCCAUCUUCGCCUACUCCCUGGCAUGGCCGCCUGCCUUCCUGGCUGAAGCGUAA